GAUGAACGCUAGCGGCAGGCCUAACACAUGCAAGUCGAGGGGCAGCACAGAAACAGCAAUGUUUUGGUGGCGACCGGCGGACGGGUGCGUAACGCGUAUGCAACCUACCUUUAACAGGGGGAUAACGGAGAGAAAUUUCCACUAAUACCCCAUAACAUCGAUCAAGGCAUCUUGAUUGGUUGAAAACUCCGGUGGUUAAAGAUGGGCAUGCGUUGUAUUAGGUAGUUGGUGAGGUAAUGGCUCACCAAGCCUACGAUACAUAGGGGGACUGGGAGGUUAGCCCCCCACACGGGUAAUUGGGACCGGACCAGACUCCUACGGGAGGCAGCCGUUGGGAAUAUUAGUCAAUGGGGGCAACCCUGAACCAGCCAUGCCGCGUGCAGGAAGACGGCUCUAUGAGUUGUAAUCUGCUUUUAAACAGGGAUAAAGCACAGUAUGUAUACUGUGUUGAAGGUACUGUAAGAAUAAGGAUCGGCUAACUCCGUGCCAGCCGCCGCAGUAA
rnacentral:rRNA from 1 species